rnacentral:misc_RNA from 1 species
AAGUCGUAACAAGGUUUCCGUAGGUGAACCUGCGGAAGGAUCAUUACAGAAUAAACUUGGUGGGUUGUUGCUGGCUCUCAAUUGGGCAUGUGCACGCCUGUCAUCUUUAUCUUUCCACCAUGUGCACUUUCUGUAGGACUUUGAAUGAACAAAUAAGCCUAGUCAACAAACGUUGACUAUGGGAAUGUUGCUGAUUCUUCAGCUCAUUCUGUAUCUGGCUGUUCAUUCCGGGCUCUACGAUAUCUCUAUAUACACCACGCAUGUUAAUGAACGCAAUCAAUGGGCCCAUAAAGCCUAUAAACCUAUAAUACAACUUUCAGCAACGGAUCUCUUGGCUCUC